AUGAGCUUUAGGGCUGUCUCCACUGCCUGCUGGAGCGGUCACAAGCCGCUUGCUUCAGAGACCCUGGGAAGCAGCGCACUCCGGCAGCGGCCGGCCUCGGGCCUGGGCGAAGCAGGCAGUGUUUACACCUGUCACGAGGGAGGGGGAGGAAGACAGAGGAAGCCCAGGCAAAGCCCCAAACUUCUCAACGGCUCCCGGGAGGGAGCGGCCGGCGCGGAGCUAAGGGCAGGUGGAAGCGGAGGGGCAGGGCGAGCCGGCGGCGGCCGGGGAGGUGGGAACGGCUCACUUUCCCGGCCGGUGCCCGGGAUGGCGAGGAGGGGGCCGCGCGCUUCUGGCGCCGCCGCCGCCGCCGGCGUCCCCGCACCCGCCGCGGAAGAGGGCAGAGCCGAAGCCCGGAGCCCGCAGGCCCGCAGAGCCGGCACGGUCCCCGAAGCCCCCGGCUCCGCAGCAGGCAGGUGCCCCCGGCCCGGGGGAGGGUCCAGCCGGUGGGCCGGGCCGGGUCGCUGUACCCUCUUCCCCCGCGCGGCUCAGGGAGCGGAGCGGUGGCGCUCACCUGGCUCGUCCGGGGCGGCCGCGAUGGGCAUGGCUCAGGGGCCCGGGGAGGAUCUGACUCCCCGGGGAAGGACCGGCUAUUCCGAUGCGAGGCUGCUGAGAGCGGAAGGCAGGCUGCUCACAGCCCUGUCAGCGAAGCAGCGCCAUGGCCGCCCACCCGGAGUUUCAGCGCUGCCGCGGGACCCCCAUCCCAUUACCCUCCGCCCUCUUCCGCCGCCGCCACCUCCACCUCCUCCUCCGCGGAGACCCCCCGCCCACUCCACACACUCUCCCAUCAUGCAGCGCGGGGACCGCUGCCGCCGACACGUCACUUCCGGGCGCAGGUGGCUAGGUCGGGGCCGGGCGCUGGCGGGUGCUGAGGGGUGGGGGGAGGACACUCCAGGGGAAUUAGUGUCACAGAAAGCUUACCCCUGCGCAGGCGCUGUCGCGCAGCGCGCCGGCCGCCAUCUUGGGUGCGGGCAAGCUGCCCUUUUCCUUUGCUUCCUUGCCAGUCAUCUAGCUGUAGGAGGGAAAGGCGUCCUCUCGCGCUCGCCGCCUGCGGAGGCGGCGCUCCAGGCAAGGGACAGGUGCUCCUCAGCCGGUUAA
rnacentral:lncRNA from 1 species